rnacentral:rRNA from 1 species
CCUACGGGUGGCAGCAGUGAGGAAUAUUGGUCAAUGGACGCAAGUCUGAACCAGCCAUGCAGCGUGCAGGAAGACGGCUCUAUGAGUUGUAAACUGCUUUUGUACGAGGGUAAACGCAGAUACGCGUAUCUGUCUGAAAGUAUCGUACGAAUAAGGAUCGGCUAACUCCGUGCCAGCAGCCGCGGUAAUACGGAGGAUUCAAGCGUUAUCCGGAUUUAUUGGGUUUAAAGGGUGCGUAGGCGGUCGGAUAAGUUAGAGGUGAAAUCCCGAGGCUCAACUUCGGAAUUGCCUCUGAUACUGUUCGGCUAGAGAGUAGUUGCGGUAGGCGGAAUGUAUGGUGUAGCGGUGAAAUGCUUAGAGAUCAUACAGAACACCGAUUGCGAAGGCAGCUUACCAAGCUACUUCUGACGUUGAGGCACGAAAGCGUGGGUAGCAAACAGGAUUAGAUACCCUGGUAGUC